rnacentral:rRNA from 1 species
UACGUAGGGGGCAAGCGUUGUCCGGAAUCAUUGGGCGUAAAGCGCGCGUAGGCGGCCCGGUAAGUCCGUUGUGAAAGUCAAAGGCUCAACCUUUGAACGCCGAUGGAUACUGCCGGGCUAGAGUCCGGAAGAGGCGAGUGGAAUUCCUGGUGUAGCGGUGGAAUGCGCAGAUAUCAGGAGGAACACCAAUAGCGAAGGCAGCUCGCUGGGACGGUACUGACGCUGAGGAGCGAAAGCGUGGGGAGCAAACAGG